CGGGGCGUAGCGCAGCCUGGUAGCGCACUUGCAUGGGGUGCAAGGGGUCGAGUGUUCGAAUCACUCCGUCCCGACCA
rnacentral:tRNA from 516 species